UACGUAGGUGGCAAGCGUUGUCCGGAUUUACUGGGCGUAAAGAGCGCGCAGGCGGUCGUUCAAGUCACGUGUGAAAGCCCCCGGCUCAACUGGGGAGGGUCACGCGAUACUGAUCGACUCGAAGGCAGGAGAGGGUAGUGGAAUUCCCGGUGUAGUGGUGAAAUGCGUAGAGAUGUGGAGGAACACCGAUGGCGAAGGCAGCCCCCUGGGCUAACACUGACGCUCAUGCACGAAAGCGUGGGGAGCAAACAGG
rnacentral:rRNA from 1 species